rnacentral:lncRNA from 1 species
AGGAGAGGCCCCUCUUGCAGAUCCGGGCCUACUGCAGCUCCCGCUGGGACUCCGCGGGCUCCGAGGACGCUGUGGCCAAGACCUUUGAGAAGUGUGUCAUUGAAGCCGUGAGCUCAGCCUGCCAGUCGCAGACGAGUAUCCUUGAGGGAGUUUCUAACGAUGAUUUGCAGAAAUUUGGCACAGUUGUGUCUGCCGUGAUCACCAAGUCCUGGCCUAGAGACAGAGGGGAGGCCGUGGAUGACCUGGAUGAAAUUUUUAAGCACCUGCUCACGUGGCCGGAUGUGAAGCAUCUUUUCAGACUGUGUGGAACUGAUGAGAAAAUAUUAGCAAAUAUCACAGACGAAGGCAAGAAGCUGAUGGCCACUGCUGACUCUGUGUUGACAAAAGUUGCUGGUGACCUGCUAAACGGGACGGUCCUUGUCGGGCAGCUGGAGUUGAUUAUGAAGCACAAGAAUCAGUUUCUUGACAUCUGGCAACUAAAGGAAAAAUGUCAUUCACCCCAGGAGAAAUUAGCUGAUAUGAAGAAAGUGCUGGAUUGGAGAAAGGAAGAACUAGAUUUUCUAAAGAAGGAGGAAAGUUACGUUGACGGCCUGCUGAAGCUGUGCGAGAGUGUGAAGCACCUGGUGCCAGUGGACUUUGGAGAGGUUGCAAGAAGACGCUCAGAGGACCUGAGCAGUAAAAGGUUAGAUGACGCCGUGACAGUGAGACUGCCCGCCUCCUCCCACCAGCCAAUCACAACACACUACCACUUGAGCCCCCAGGUCCGAGAAAUGGCUGAAAAGGUAGAUUUGCUGAAAGACAGCCACAUCUUCCAGAUCUUCUGGAAGGAAGCUGCAGAGUGGUUGAGUCAGCCUGCAGAAGAAUCAGAAGGGCAAAUACUGCAGCUGGAAGAGGUGUAUGAUGAUCUGUAUGAGCCUUGCUACGAAAAGUUCCUUGUACUUUAUCAGGACCUGAAGUCAGGAGAGGUCACCUUUGCAGAAAUCAAUGUCUUCUUCAAGGACUUUGUGAAUAAGUACAGUGAACUGACGACAGAGCUCCAGGUCAUGGGUGCUGUGGACAGCCAGAGCCCACGGGACUGGAUCCGGGAGCGGGUUGGGCAGAUCAGGGAGUACCAUAACCUGCACCAGGCUGUCAGCGCGGCCAAGGUCAUCUUGCAGGUCAAAGAGGAUCUGGGACUGACUGGCGACUUCAGUGUUCUUUGCACUUUACUACAUUUUACUGAUAACUCUGAGGACUUCCGCCACGAGAAACUGGUCCAGAUCAGCCCGCAGCUCAUCCGGGCCAAGAAGAUGCUGCAGGACAUGAGCGAGGCCCGGUGCCGGUGUCUGCAGGCGCUGUCCGGGAGGAAGGAGUUCAUCGGCUGGGUGCGGGAGGCGCUGGGAGGCAUCAACGAGCUGAAGGUGUUCGUGGACCUGGCUUCCAUCUCGGCGGGCGAGAACGACAUAGACGUGGACCGGGUGGCCUGUUUCCACGACGCCGUGCAGGGCUACGCCCCCCUGCUGUACAAGCUGGACGCCAGGGCAGGGUUCGGCGCGUUCAUGGAGCACCUGGCAGAACUGUGGAAGGCUCUGGACAACGACCAGCACCUGCCCAAUAAACUGGUGAGUCUCCUUCCUGCUCCAGAGCAGGCCGUGUGGAACGCAGCGUUGCUCUGGCAACGUUAGGGAAACGCAAACGACGGAGGCUUGUACGCAGCCAUUUAAGAUGAUGUUUAAAAAGGUUUUCUCACAAAUGGAAAUUCUUUCUCCAUCUUGCUAUGUUAGAAUGCAGGAUACAAAAUUACUUACAAACAAUAGUAAACUAUGGCACAAAACAUGUGGAGAAAAGAUUAAAAGAAAAUAUGCUAAAAUGUCACCUGUGUUUUUCUCUGAAAGGUAGUAAUUGUCAUUUCAAUCGGUCACUUCUGGAUAUUCUCCAUGUUUCCACAGUCGAUGCAGAUUAGUGUUGUAUAGGAAAGGUGAACGUUUAGGUGUAAGUGAACUACCCGGACCAGGGUCUGCGUUGGCUUACAGGAGUCCCGAGUGGUCCCGCGCCUGGGGCGCUCAGGACAGCCGGCUCUGCGGGUGGCUGGGCAGGAUGUGACCAGGCACGAGCAGGUAGAGCUGUCCUCACUUCUGCUGGAAGUCCACACCCGAGCGGGCCUCGCUGCCGUCUUUUCUUAACUCUCCAUCACACUCAGGGACCACAGUAGGACAUCGGGCACUUAGGCCCCUACGGCCCGGCUGCAGCUGGCACCACUCCGCAGGGCUCCUCGAGUGGAGCGCCGCCCGUGGCUGCUCACCCUCAGCCGCAUAUCCAGAGUCCCGGGUUACGGGCCACGGGGCGCCGGGUGCUGGUGGAAACGUGGGUGCAGCGGCACACAGAGACGGAAAUCCGGCAUGGCGGGUCCUCAGGAGGACUGGCAGGAGCACACAGGAGCCACCUGACCCUGCCACGGGCACUGUGUGGGCGGUGGUGCCCUGCACCUGGGGAGGAGUGACAGGAACACAGAGGGAGGAGGUGCAGGAGGAAGGGGAGGAAAGAAGUCACAGGGACGGUGGCCCGAACCUUUCCUGUCCCAACAGAGUGAUUCUGCCAGGAACUUGGAGUGGUUGAAAACAGUGAAGGACAGUCACGGGUCUGUAGAACUCUCGUCCCUGUCCCUGGCCACCGCGAUCAACAGCAGAGGCAUCUAUGUGAUCGAGGCACCCACAGGUGGCCGAAAGGUGAGC